GCCCCCUUCGUCUAGCGGCCCAGGACGCGGCCCUCUCACGGCUGAAACAGGGGUUCGAGUCCCCUAGGGGGCGCCA
rnacentral:tRNA from 2 species